rnacentral:rRNA from 1 species
AUACGGAGGAUCCAAGCGUUAUCCGGAUUUAUUGGGUUUAAAGGGUGCGCAGGCGGAAGAUUAAGUCGGCGGUGAAAUUUUGCAGCUCAACUGUAAAAGUGCCAUCGAUACUAGUUUUCUUGAGUGUGGAUGAAGUAGGCGGAAUUUGUGGUGUAGCGGUGAAAUGCUUAGAUAUCACGAGGAACUCCGAUUGCGCAGGCAGCUCACUAGGCCAUAACUGACGCUCAGGCACGAAGGCGUGGGGAUCAAACAGGAUUAGAUACCCUGGUAGUCCACGCAGUAAACGAUGAUUACUCGCUGUUUGCGAUACACAGUAAGCGGCUUAGCGAAAGCGUUAAGUAAUCCACCUGGGGAGUACGUUCGCAAGAAUGAAACUCAAAGGAAUUGACGGGG